UAGGGAAUCUUCGGCAAUGGGGGGAACCCUGACCGAGCAACGCCGCGUGAGUGAAGAAGGUUUUCGGAUCGUAAAGCUCUGUUGUUAAGGAAGAACGAGUGUGAGAAUGGAAAGUUCAUGCUGUGACGGUACUUAACCAGAAAGGGACGGCUAACUACGUGCCAGCAGCCGCGGUAAUACGUAGGUCCCGAGCGUUGUCCGGAUUUAUUGGGCGUAAAGCGAGCGCAGGCGGUUAGAAAAGUCUGAAGUGAAAGGCAGUGGCUCAACCAUUGUAGGCUUUGGAAACUGUUUAACUUGAGUGCAGAAGGGGAGAGUGGAAUUCCAUGUGUAGCGGUGAAAUGCGUAGAUAUAUGGAGGAACACCGGUGGCGAAAGCGGCUCUCUGGUCUGUAACUGACGCUGAGGCUCGAGAGCGUGGGGAGCGAACAGG
rnacentral:rRNA from 1 species